GGCGCGCUGCCCGGAGCUGCCUGGGUUGCGCUGCCGGCCACGUCCCCGCGCCGGGCCUCAGGCUCCUUCCUACUGUCCGAGGGCCACCAGGCCGCCGGGGGCCUGCUGCGCCCGGAUGCGUCUGUUACUAGAGUGGAGAGUCUACCUUCGUCUCACAUGUGCCACAAAGGAUGGCAUGGCCCGGGAGUGCCCCACCACGUGGCUUUCACCCCCUGCAAAGCCAGACUUCGCCCAGCGACACAGUGUCAAGCCCACAGCUCUCCAAGGAGGAAGAUGGUCCAGGCUGGGAGCAUCCCCUUAGCAGCAGCCUCUGGGAGGCUGUGUCUUACUCAUGCAGGGUGGUGGAGGGGCGCCUCUUAGCAGAAGAUGAUGAAAGGCUGUCCCCUCUCAGGAAGGAGAAGGUCCUUGUCUGUUCCAAGGCAAAGAACUGGACAAGAAGGAGGAGGUUCAUUCAGUACAUUGAGUCUGAUCCUCCCUGCUGUAGCUGGAGCACGGUCCCUGAAGCUGGCUGAAGUGCUAAAGCAGGGGCUAGCAAACUGUGGCCGAAUCCCACCUGCUGCCUGUUUGUAUAAAUAAAGUUUUAUUGGGACACAACCAUGCCCACCAUUCA
rnacentral:lncRNA from 1 species